rnacentral:rRNA from 2 species
AACGAACGCUGGCGGCAGGCUUAACACAUGCAAGUCGAGCGCGUAGCAAUACGAGCGGCAGACGGGUGAGUAACGCGUGGGAAUCUACCCAUCCCUACGGAAUAACGCAUGGAAACGUGUGCUAAUACCGUAUACGCCCUUAGGGGGAAAGAUUUAUCGGGGAUGGAUGAGCCCGCGUUGGAUUAGCUAGUUGGUGGGGUAAAGGCCUACCAAGGCGACGAUCCAUAGCUGGUCUGAGAGGAUGAUCAGCCACAUUGGGACUGAGACACGGCCCAAACUCCUACGGGAGGCAGCAGUGGGGAAUAUUGGACAAUGGGCGCAAGCCUGAUCCAGCCAUGCCGCGUGAGUGAUGAAGGCCUUAGGGUUGUAAAGCUCUUUCACCGGUGAAGAUAAUGACGGUAACCGGAGAAGAAGCCCCGGCUAACUUCGUG